rnacentral:lncRNA from 1 species
UGUAAUUGUUGGAGUGGAUCCAAGAGACGAAGUCACCAGGGAAGCAGCUAAAUAUAUUCCUGAGGGUGGCUAUAAGCAGUUUCUCAGGGAAGAUGGUCUGAAAGGGAAGCAAAUAGGCAUUGUCAGACAUCCAUUUGUGGAAAUGAUACAUGGAGAAAUUGAAAAAUCAGCUUUUGAGCAUCACCUGGAUUUGUUAAGGUAUGAAGCUUUGUAACCUCAAGUCACAUUUUAUCUUCAAAAAUUGCAAAUGAAAAAUAAGAAGGCACGACUUGCUUUCCUGGUUAUAGAACACUUGUAGUUAUUUGAUGGACCUUAUGAUGCUUUGUUAUUAUUUG